UCCGUAGGUGAACCUGCGGAGGGCAUCAUUACCGAGUUAUCCAACUCCCACCCCUGUGACUUAUACCUUUAAUUGUUGCUUCGGCGGGACUUUGCGCCCGCCGGGGACCCAAACCUUCUGAAUUUUUUAAUAAGUAUCUUCUGAGUGGUUAAAAAAAAUGAAUCAAAACUUUCAACAACGGAUCUCUUGGUUCUGGCAUCGAUGAAGAACGCAGCGAAAUGCGAUAAGUAAUGUGAAUUGCAGAAUUCAGUGAAUCAUCGAAUCUUUGAACGCACAUUGCGCCCGUCAGUAUUCUGGCGGGCAUGCCUGUUCGAGCGUCAUUACGCCCCUCAAGUCCCCUGUGGACUUGGUGUUGGGGAUCGGCGAGGCUGGUUUUUUCCAGCACAGCCGUCCCUUAAAUUGAUUGGCGGUCUCGCCGUGGCCCUCCUCUGCGCAGUAGUAAAACACUCGCAACAGGAGCCCGGCGCGGUCCACUGCCGUAAAACCCCCCCAACUUUUUAUAGUUGACCUCGAAUCAGGUAGGACUACCCGCUGAACUUAAGCAUAAUCAUAAGCGGAGGA
rnacentral:rRNA from 1 species